rnacentral:lncRNA from 1 species
AAAAGCCUCCCCUCUCUCUCUCUCUCCUCUGUGUCUCAAACAACAAUCCCAUUCAGCCCUUUCUCUCUCGCCCUUUUUCCCUCUGUGUCGAAAGCAAUAAUCCCAUUAAGUAAAAACAGAGCAUUUUUUCAGGAAAAUAAUGCAUUCUUUUCCCUCUCUCUUUCUCUCUCUCUCUCUCUCUCAAAUCGACUCCAGCUUACUUUGACCCAAAAUCCGAUCUCGGAAGCGAAGCCAUUUCUCAUUCCUCCACUCCUCAUCUCCCGCCAUUGUUGACCAAAUGUUCGCGAGCUAUGUUGCCUUGUCU